ensembl:lncRNA
CUUCAGUGUCACGUGUUUCCAUGUGAGGGAGAGGCCUCGGGAUGAGGGAACCGGUCAGGAUUUGGCAGGGCGAUGCAUUUCUCAGAACACUUCCUUCUCCCUGCUUUUUCUGUCUUCACUAAUAUUUAUUCUUGGGUUUCUAUUUUGUUUUAGAGAGUUUGCAAAACUGCUGUUUUGGGACCGAAGGGAAUAUUCUGCUGUGAAAGAACGUUUUAUGGACUUCAUACAACUGGGACCUUCAACACCGUCACCACCCUUGAAGCAACUGGGGGGCGGGGUGCAGCCGAGUGGGGCUGGUGCACAGCUGUGGCGGACUCCUGGCAUUCUCCACUCCUGGCCAGGCAGCUCUGGAAUCUGGAACAGGACAGGACAUGGUGGGGGGCUUAUGAAUCUCCAGAUGGCCUCAAAUGUACCAUGUGACUGGGGACAACCUCAUUCUCCUUGUCUCCAUUUCCCAAGUGCUGGGAUCUCAGAUAUGCCUGCCUGCAGAGAUUUCAUAAUGCCCUCAACUCUAUGGAGGAGGCCAGAAGAAGGUGUGAGAUCCCCUGGAACCGGAAUCACAGACAAUGAGACCCAGAUGAUCUGUCUAGGACUUUCAGACAAAGGUCUCACUCUUGAGAAUGAUGGGAAAGAAAGGCAAGGAACACCGGCCCUUGGAUGACAGUAUGGAGGAGAGCCCUCAGCCUGCCUGGAAUGCAGAGGUUGUUUGAAGUGGCAAGGUAUGGCCGCUAAGGCCCUCCCGAAACAUCAUGUCAUCCUGGAAUGUGGGCUGAAGAGAACCUUUGACCUCUGAACUGGGGAGAAGAUGGAUAAUGGCUCGAAGAUCUCCCAGCUUCUCAACCUUUGUCAGUCUGAGAACACAAUCUGGCAGCUGAGUGAUGUGUGUUCGAGGCUGGACCCCAAGAAUGUGGGGCUUGUAUUCACGUCAACAUACAACAACCCAAAGAAAACAAAAAUAAAAGCAAAAUCCAAAAACCAAACCAAAACCCUACACACAAGGAAAAGAAAAAAAAAAAAACCCAAAAAACUCAUUGGGGUGUGGUGACAUACGUCUUUAAUCCCAGCACUUGGGAGGUAGAGGCAGGUGGAUUUCUGUGAGUUUGAGAACCCCCUGGUCUACAGAGUGAGUUUUAAGCCAGAGCUACAUAGUGAGUCUCUGUCCAAAGAAAGAGGACAAACAAACUCAAGUGCUGGGGGAUAUAGCUCAGUGGUAGAAUGCUCACCCCGUGUGCUGGUUAAUUUUAUGUCAACUUGACACAUGCUGGAGUUAUCUGAAAGGAGGGAGCCUCAACUGAGAAAAUGCCUCCGUAAGACCCAGCUGCAGGGAAUUCUUUAAAUUAGUGAUUGAUGAGGGAGGGCCUAGCUCAUUGUGGGUGGGGCCAUCCUUGGGUUGGUGGUCCUGGGUUCUAUUACAAAGCAGGCUGAACAAGCCACGAGGAGCAAGUCAGUAAGCAGUACCCUCCAUGUCCACUGUAUCAGAGUCUGCCUACAGGUUCCUGCCCUGUUUGAGUACCUGUCCUGAUUUCCUUUGAUGAUGAACAGUAACAUGAGGUGUAAGUUAAAUAAAUCUUUUCCUCCCCAAGUUGCUUUGGUCAUAGAGUUUCAUCACAGUGACAGUAAUCCUAACUAAGACACCUCGUAUGAACAAGGCAUUGGAUUUGAUUCCAAGUAAUGUGUGCGCGUACACACACACACACACACACACACACACACACACACACACUCCUCUACAUAGACACAAGGCCCAGAGGGACAAUGUAGAUAGGGAAACUAGAGUAGAAUUUAGCGUCAGGGAGACACAGGUUCAAAUCUCAACUUUUGUCUCUUACUGUUUAUAUGAACUUGAAUAAAUUUCUUCAGCUCUUUGA